GGCGUAGUCAGAAGAAAACGGCAACCAAUAGAAGUAAUACUCAUCAUCACUUCUAUUGGUUUCUGACACGUCCAUCAACCACCAGCACUCACCCCUCCUCCCUGCGCGUUCACCGACUCGUGAACUUGACCGACCCCGCCCCCAUCAUUCAUGCACACGCGACGAGGCUCAUCAUCACUCGGCUAGCAAGGUAACGAGAGUUAGCAGCAGGCUGAGCUACUUGGAAACUUUGCUGGCUUUUGCAGAGCUACAGGAAGAACUUUGACUUUUGUUACACUGGACUAACCAUGUCAGGAUAACAUAGUCCCUUGGAUUAUAGUCAUUGGACUCGCAAGACCAGAUUCCAACACGGGCUGACAAUUGGAAAUGGGACCUGACACUCUUGGACACAGUCGGCUACGGCAGCGGCUUCAAACAUAGGCUUUGGUGACCACAUUUCUAAUCGAGAGAAUCUAGUUGUGCGAACGAGCGACAAACCAGCUGGGAGGAUGGAAGCACCUGUUCUCAAUUCCCCUUCUCCACCCGCGUUCAGUAACUAAAUACGGAAUCACCCCGUAAUAAGUCAACCGCAGACAGGGUCCUUCCACAACCACAUACUUAUGCCAGUAAAAGCUACAGCUCUUCUCCGAUCCAAGAAGCCUGGACUGCAGUCACCAUCUCAACACACCAACCAAGAGAAAGGCAGAUGGCUCAAUUC